rnacentral:rRNA from 1 species
CACGUAGGGUGCGAGCGUUGUCCGGAAUUAUUGGGCGUAAAGAGCUCGUAGGCGGUGUGUCGCGUCGGCCGUGAAAACUUGCAGCUUAACUGUGGGCGUGCGGUCGAUACGGGCAUCACUUGAGUUCGGCAGGGGAGACUGGAAUUCCUGGUGUAGCGGUGAAAUGCGCAGAUAUCAGGAGGAACACCGGUGGCGAAGGCGGGUCUCUGGGCCGAUACUGACGCUGAGGAGCGAAAGCGUGGGGAGCGAACAGG